GGGGCCAUGGGGAAGCUUGGUAUCCUUCCAGGUUUGGGACCUGGCGUCGUCGGUUCAAAUCCGGCUGGCCCCA
rnacentral:tRNA from 1 species